rnacentral:rRNA from 1 species
CCUACGGGAGGCAGCAGUGAGGAAUAUUGGUCAAUGGGCGCGAGCCUGAACCAGCCAAGUCGCGUGAAGGAUGACUGCCCUACGGGUUGUAAACUUCUUUUAUAAAGGAAUAAAGUGAGGCACGUGUGCCUUUUUGUAUGUACUUUAUGAAUAAGGAUCGGCUAACUCGGUGCCAGCAGCCGCGGUAAUACGGAGGAUCCGAGCGUUGUCCGGAUUUUUUGGGUUUAAGGGGAGCGUAGAUGGGUUGUUAAGUCAGUUGUGAAAAUUUGCGGCUCAACCGUCAAAUUGCAAUUGAUACUGGUAGUCUUGAGUACAGUUGAGGAAAGUGGAAUUCGUAGUGUAGCGGUGAAAUGCUUAGAUAUCACGAAGAACUCCGAUUGCGAAGGCAGCUUACUAAACUGCCACUGACAUUGAUGCUCGAAAGUGUGGGUAUCAAACAGGAUUAGAUACCCUUGUAGUC